rnacentral:rRNA from 1 species
GGCGGCAUGGCUAAGACAUGCAAGUCGAACGGACCAUAUAAUUGGGUAACCGAAAGUAUGGUUAGUGGCGAAAGGGUGAGGAAUAGAUAGGAACGUACCCUGUGCUCUGGGAUAGCGUCUGAAGCUUCGGCUUCUUCCGAAAGGGGCGGUAAUACCAGAUAAUGUCCUUCGGGACCAAAGAUUUAUCGGCAUUGGAGCGGCCUAUCUCCUAUCAGCUUGUUGGUGAGGUAACGGCUCACCAAGGCAACGACGGGUAGCGGGACUGAGAGGUUGGCCCGCCACAUCGGGACUGAGACACUGCCCGGACCUCCACGGAGGGCUGCAGUAACGGAUAUUGGGCAAUGGGCGAAAGCCUGACCCAGCAAUGCCGCGUGCAGGAUGAAGCCCCUAGGGGUGUAAACUGCUGUCAGGGGUCAGAAAGCUGGUUUCGGCCAGUUGAUCAACCCCAGAGGAAGUCACGGCUAACUUCGUGCCAGCAGCCGCGGUAAUACGAAGGUGGCAAGCGUUAUUCGGAAUCAUUGGGCUUAAAGGGCACGCAGGCGGAACAGUGUGUGUAGUGUGAAAUCCCCCGGCUUAACCGGGGAAUUGCACAGCAAACUGCUGUUCUUGAGGCAGGUAGGGGUGCAUGGAACUCUUGGUGGAAGCGGUGGAAUGCGUAGAUAUCAAGAGGAACGCCAGAGGUGAAGACGGUGCACUGGGCCUGUCCUGACGCUGAGGUGCGAAAGCGUGGGGAGCGAACGGGAUUAGAUACCCCGGUAGUCCACGCCGUAAACGAUGUCUACUAGGUCGUGGGUGUUCUGACACAUUCACGGCCGGAGCAAAAGUGUUUAGUAGACCGCCUGGGGAGUACGGCCGCAAGGUUAAAACUCAAAUGAAUUGACGGGGGCUCACACAAGCGGUGGAGCAUGUGGAUUAAUUCGAAGCAACGCGCAGAACCUUACCUGGGUUUGACAUGCUUGUAUGCCUUCUCUGAAAGGAGUUAGGUUGCCUUCGGGUGAAACUUGCACAGGUGCUGCAUGGCUGUCGUCAGCUCGUGUCGUGAGAUGUCGGGUUAAGUCCUUUAACGAGCGAAACCCUUGCCGUUAGUUGCCAGCGAGUAAUGUCGGGGACUCUAACGGGACUGCCGGUGUUAAACCGGAGGAAGGUGGGGAUGACGUCAAGUCCUCAUGGCCUUUAUGCCCAGGGCUUCACACGUGCUACAAUGGCAAUUACAGAGCGACGCGAUACCGCGAGGUGGAGCAAAUCGCAAAAAAAUUGCCUCAGUUCGGAUUGCAGGCUGGCAAUUCGCCUGCAUGAAGUCGGAAUCGCUAGUAAUCGCGUAUCAGCAAUGACGCGGUGAAUGUGUUCCUGAGCCUUGUACACACCGCCCGUCAAGUGAUGGAAGCACGGGAGUACCACGAAGUCAGGGUUGCUAACCUUUGGGAGGCGCCUGCCGACGGUAAG